UCUUUUCUAAAAGUCCUAGUAAUGUGCGUGGGACCGGGCACUGUGAGCUGGAGCAGGCACUGGCCGGAGGGAAGGGAGUCUAGCAUUCACAGAGCUCUUGCCUGCCGCCCACUCCCCCAGAAGGGGUGAGCCCAUCUUGCAGGUCAGAAAACACAAAGUCAGUGAGGUUACAAUAGCUUACCAGGAUCAACAACUCACAAGGGGCCUCAAAGUAGUGCAGAAGCUGGGUACACCACGGGACUGUCUGCUUUCCCCUUAUAAAGGUCUGUGAGUUCAAGGCCAGCUUGGUCUACAAAUCCAGUUCCAGGACAGCCAGGGCGGUUACACAGGCAAAGCCUGUCUUGAAAAACAAGCAAGCAAACAAAAGAUUGUUCCAAGGAGGAAGGGACAGGCAUUUUCAACCUGCAGCUGGAUGUGUUUCCAUUUGGCUUUAUUAUACGAGACCCUAAGAAAGUCAUCUCCUCAGCCCCUCUCUGCAGAGUCCAGUGAAGCCUGUGACUGUUUCAGAGCCCUGAGGAUCGAGUGGUCAGACCAUCUCCUGUCACUCCGACAGGACAGGACAAAUGUUAAGAGCCAUCUCCACUUCCCAGAGCAGAGGAACAAAGGCCUUUUGACUCCAGGGGAGGACAAAUCAUGAACUAGGACGGAAAAACUCUAUGGCAGUUGAGUGAAUAGUGCUCAAAAACCCUGACGCAGAGACCCUGAUGAGCACAGUUUGAGAAACAAUGAUGUAGCCGAAGAUUUGACGACGUUUCCAAUGGACAAGCCAGCCGGUGUCUGUGUAACUGCUCGGUCCCCCACUGCAGCACCAGCGCAGCGGAGGCAGCAGUGAGUGGAUGGAUGACCAUGGCUCUCUCCCAACAAACCUUUACUGACUAAACGGAAGCUGGCCCCCACCAGAAGUGGUGGUUACAAAGUACUCUACCUGAAAGGAGAGAAUCUGGAGGUAAUGGGCUCAGCCCCUAGCGUCAGGAUGCUGUGAUGCAGGCCAGUUCCUGUGGUACACACAGCAUCAUCCCUGACACCUCGGAGGCUUUAGAGUGAUGGUCACAGGGCCCCCCGGCUGCACAGCUCUCUUGACAGCAGCGGAGACACACAGUCCUCUGUUGUUUCAAAAGCCAAGCAGCGCUGACUUCUUGACCCUCGCUGUGAGCACACGUAGGCCACCAGGAGCCUCUUUCCACACUGGUACCUACCUCCCUCACUGACAACCUGACUCCUUCUGGAAGAUUGCUUUGCAGUAUUUCCAAGAAAAUCUCUGCAAACGUAGCACUCAGACCGCUGAUCUGCAAAGGAAGAAAGAUGCCUAAGGAGGGUGCUGAAGGCCAGGUGACAGGCAAGCAGGGCUCCCUGCAGCUCCAGGGGGAGACUGACACUCAGCCCAGUCCCUGCAGGACUUCUUGCUGUUUGUUGAGAUGUUUGCUUGCCAAUGUUCCUGUAGGCAGGGAAUGUCACAACCAGACCAAUACUGAUUUUCUGAUGCAAUUCGGGUUUACCACACUGGCCAGGUGCUGGUGUCAGGCCUGACUCAAGAAUCCAGAGGUGAGUCAGAUGUGUGGUGGAAAGGCACAAAGAGUACUAUGAGGACCACAAGGGACAUAACAACUUAACUCAGUCAAGGGAAAGUCAAAGAAAGCUUCAAGAGUGGAUAAAGUCUGGGUGAAGUUUUGGAGGAAAUGGAUUAAUUCAGGAGACUCAGACAGUAGCAUGGUUAGUUUUCAGGGCUGAGGGCGCAGCACUCAGUAAACUGUGGACUGUAGAGCGGCAUUAGAAAAUCCAGGUAAGCGCCUGUGGCUGGAGUGAAAGGGACAGCAGCCGUCAAGGAGCCAGGAGGAACCCACAAUGCACUGGUGCUACAGACGUCAGCCUGUGGGCCUCGGCAGCAAGUGACAGCCACCGAGCGCACAUCACAAGCAAAUUACCAUUUAAAGACUUGAACAUUUCAAAGUCAUUUUAAAAUGAGCAUGUUUAGAUUUGGGUAUUGCUCCCUCAACAAUCUUACUGCCUUGCUGAUAAGGUUCUUUGGUGGAUUAAAAGGGGAAUACAAUGGAAAUGUAAAUAAAAUUCCAUACAAUGGAAUAUUACUUGGCCACAAAAAGAAGUGCCAUCUUGAACAAGUAUCAGAAGACAAAGAAGGAUUAAAGAUUAGGCUCAAAGGAUUUUGAGAAGUUGUCCUGAACAAUUAAUUUCCCAUACAAUGAGGUCAGCGAAUACACUGUGGAACAUUCACAAAAGUCCACUGGACAACUAGGUCUAUUAUAUUUGAACUCAGCCAACAGAUCAGGCAGGUGUGUGUGUGUGUGUGUGUGUGUGUGUGUGUGUGUGUGUGUGUGUGUUUGUGUGUUUGUGUGUGUGUGUACACCUAGGGGUAUUGGUAUACAAUGAAGCUUGGGGAACAAAUACAAUUUCCUAACAGGAAAGGUAGAGGAGUCAAGAACCCAGCUCUGGAGUACACCAUCGUUUAAGGGCAGGAAGGACAUGAGGAAAAAAUGUGGGACAAAUGGAAAGAAAGAGGGAGGGUGGGAACCAGAGAAGCAAAAGCACUUGGGGAUCCCCCAGAGUGCCUACCUGAACCACUCGCUCAUGGGUGGUAAGGACUGAGUCUAGGACCAUUUUGUUGCCUUGGGCUGGUAGCCGCAUCACCUCCAUGGUUUUGGUGGGCAUCGCGUAACUGCAGAAGAAGAGUUAGCUGUUGAGUGUCCACUCAGGCCAGCAGCACCCUGUCUACCAGGGUCAUCCGUGAGUACAACCACUGCUCCAUGUCACAUCUCCUACAGCCAGUGUCAAGGUAAGCAGACACCUUCACCUUUUCCAGACAUCUCUGAACCCUGAGGGAACACACUGUGUUCAGUACCUUUCUGUGCCCUUGACACUGACUGACACAAGACCCUGACUAUAACCCUGGUGAUAAUACGUAUUUGCUGCUUCCGAACAAGAGUCUGCUCUAAGGGAAUCCAGCUCAGCACCUAGGUAUACUUUGGAGGUGAGCCCUGAUCACUGCUUGCUCCAGAGAAAUAAGGUGUUAUAUCCAACAGUUCUGGAAUAGCUCUUUCAACGUCGGCACUAGUAACUUUCCAGACCAGCAAUUCUCAUUGUGGGUGCUGGCCUAUGUAUUCCCGCCUCUACCCACUGAAUGCCAUGAGGCUCCUCCAGUGGGACAGAAUGAUUCAGUCACCUAGGUUGGGAAUCACUACUGCCAAGUCUAUGCUACUCUGUUAGCGUCAGCAGGCCGAGCGCUACAGGGAAAAGAGCAGUGUGCUUGGAGUCUGCCAUUUAUCAACAAUAUGAGCUUGGGUAGGCCACUCUCCCCUCUGAGCUCCAUGAGUAAAUGAGAUUACAAUUUGAGCCUCCGUGAGCACAUUCUGAGGAUCCGAUAUGGGGGUGAGACUGAACUAAUGGCUACGUGGAAAUAAGGUAUUAAUGUUGCAUUUAUUUCACCGAAAAGCUCAUCAAACCAAAGAGAAAGGAAAUACUAAUAACGACAGGCAGCGAUACCACACCCCUUUAAUCCCAGCACUCGGGAGGCAGAGAGUGGAUCUCUGAGUUCAAGGCCAGCCUGGUCUACAGAGUGAGUUCCAGGACAGCCAGGGCUGCACAGAGAAACCCUGACUCGAAAAACCAAAAAGAUUCAGGCGCUUAUUGCUUACAAAGAGACCAGGAGAAGCUGGGGAGUUGGCUCAGUCAGUAAAGUGCCUGCUCUGCAAGCAUGAGGGCCUGGGUUCGGAUCCCAGCACCAGUUCAAACUCCAGGCAUAGCAGUGAGUGCCUGGAUGCCCAGAGUUUGAAAGGUGGGGACAGAGGGGUCCCUGGGGCUUGCUUACCAGCCAAUCUAGUUGCAUCACUGAGCGUGAGGUUCAAUGAGAGACCCUGCCUCAAAAAAUAAAGUGGAGACCAACUGAGGAAGACAGCUGCCCCCCUCCCCACACACACACUUGUAAUACCAGCACUUGGGAGGUGGAGGCAGGGUGAUUAGAUGUUCAAGGCCAGUUUGGCUACAUAGUGAGUUCCCAUCUGAAUGGAUAAAUGAGAAAACUAAGAAUCAAUAAAGAUAAAUCUGAGAAAUCUGGUCAUUUCAAAGUAGACCAUGUCUUUAAGUAGUUAGAGUCCAGGUAAUUUUUCUUCACUUAUCUAUAUUCUCUUUACUUUCCAGUUCUCCAUGCUGAAUAAAGAGCUGGUCAACGAGCAGAUACAGAAAGGGAGAAGUGAAAACCUGAAGAGUCAACCCAGUGGCUAGUGCUCUCUUUGGACUCCCUCCCCCGCACAGCAAAUACCAGGGAACGCCGGGGAAGAGAGCCUUCGGGGUAUGCGUUAGACCCCACAUUCAGUCCCCAGUGCUGCCCAAACAAACAGUCAGAAACACACAAAGCUAGACUCCGACUCUUUUGAAAAUGGAUCUUUUUCUUUAAGGUAAAGAAAGAGUGGCCUCACAGCCAGUGAUGCUGAGUGGUACUUUCACACUCCAUGAAACACAGGCUGGUCUGCUCUAGGCCUGGAAGCCGCUCCUUGAUGAAUAUUUCUGUCCCCCAGGCAGCUGCUUAAGCAAAGGAAGCAGGCAAAUCAGGAGGAGCAGCAGCUGCACAAUUCAGACCGCAGGCGAACACAAGCUGGCAGGCUGCUCUUCUAGCCCAAUUCCAGCUCAAGGUCACAGCUAUUAUCCCCACACCUCCAUCCCCACCCCAGAGACAAAAAUGAAAUGAGAAUCACCAGAAAACAAAUCCAUCUCUGAAAAGCUGGGAGAUGUGAAUGCCUAGUGAUACAACAUUUAGAAAACCUCACCCAAUGCAGAGCAACGAAUCGGUAAAACAAACAGCUCUUUAUGCUGAGCUAUUGCAGCAAAGAGCCAAGAAAGAAGCCCAUGCCAGGAUGCCGCUCAUCCUGCUGUUCUAGGAAGAAGCUUGUCCAUGAGGGCUGGCACACAACCCAGAUCAAGCAGCAUCUACCUGGAACAUACUGCAGACUGGGCUAGCUCUUAGGACUGGACCACUAAUGAAGACAGAAGCAGCACUGCCUUAUAGAACUUAACAUAAUACAGAACAUAAUCUGAAAGUCAUUGUGAAAUAAAUACAAGAAUAAGGAAUGUGUGUUACGAAAGGGAACAUAUAUACCCUUUAUUUCUCCUGAAUAUAUAGCACAAGGAUUUAAUAAGCUUUCUUAAAGAAGUAAUAAUCAAGAUGACACCCAAGAAAAACCUGGGGCUGGCUGAGGCUGUAGCUCAGCUGGUAGAGAGCUUGCUUAGCAAGCGCGAAGCCCCAGUCAAUCCCCAGCACAGAAUUGACUAAACACAGCGGCACACACCAUUAACCCAGCACCUGGAGAGGGAGGCAGAAGCUUCGACUACAUAAUCAAGACCAACCUGGGCUACAUGAAACCCUAUCUCAAAAUAAAGGAAGAAAAGACAAAGAGGGAGGGAGGGAUGAAAAGAGAAAGGAAAGUGGGUGAGGGAAGGCACAAGAACAGUCAAGCUCUGCGGAGUCUAAGCAAAGGUCUUGAAGUAGAAAUCCAACCUUGAAGCAGAGAGGAGGGAAGGGCAGGAUGGGUUAAAAUAGGGGAAGGGUGCCAGACCAUGAGCACCUAGCAAGCCACAGAAGACAUUAGCUAAUCCUAAGAGAGUGGGAAGCAGUGAGGUGAGAAGGAAUGAGAAGUGUUGUAAGCAGGGAAGGACACAAUCACAUUUCCACUAUAGAAAAAUUAUACCAAACACUACAUGAAGUGCCUGUUAGAAGAACUGAGAACCAGACAGGGAAAAAUGGGUUCAAAUCUAGGAUGAUGGACAAGCUUCAAUUUCAUUAUUAUUUGUGUGUGUGUGUGUGUGUGUGUGUGUGUGUGUGUGUGUGUGUAUGCACACGCACGCAUAGGCAUUGUGUGUGGGUACAGUUGCUAUGGGCGGUUGUGGAAGCCCGAGGCUGAUGUCAGGUGCCUUCUUCUAUCACUCUCCAACAUAUUUUUUGAGACAGGGUCUCUCAUCAGUUCAUCAAUCUCCACCUCCCCGUGCUGAGAUUACAGGUGUGUGCUGCCACACAUGGUGUGCUGGGGUUCUCAGGCUUGCACAGUGAGCAUUACCUGCUGAGCCAUCUUCCCAGGCUGAAGCAAAGCAUUAUGUUGACAUUGCACACUUUUUCAUGUACCCUAUUCCAUGCUAUGAAUAUUUCUCUUAGUGUGUGUGCAUGUACACAUAUAGGUAAGCUGUGUGUGCAUCCUGAAAGUACUUUAGGACCUUUUCACCUAGCUGGAGUCAGAACUAUUGCAAAGACUAACCAUUAUGUUCACUAGUCAGAAUGUCUAGGACAGAGCCUACCACAUAUGGGAAAAGGGGUCCAGCAACAGUGUUUUAUUAAUUAAAAGCCCUUUCCCUAAUUUUUAGGAAUUGUGUCCUACACAACUGGAUUGUAUAGUCACAUUCAAGAACCUGUCAGUCUUCAAUGACUGAAUGUUUCCCAUGUGACAGGCUUUGUUAGCUGCUAAGGAAACAAAGACCACAGUCCCCAUCGCCAAGGAGCACACAGUCGGGAAGGGGAACUAAUGAGUGCAUGCGCACCAGGCCACACGGCAGAUGUGUGUGUGUGUGCUGAGUGCUAAAGAACAUCCAGUCCUCAGAGGGCUAAGGAAAACCUAGAUCCCUCGGUGAGUGCUCAGGCUUAAAAGAAUGACAGCAAUGCCCCUGCCGUCGAGAGCUAAAGUCACAGCUUCUCAUCACGUCUCCAAGGCACUUUUAACAGCUGCAUGCUACAUUGUGAAGGUGUAAGAGUCCAAAUCUGGCUUAAGAACUUAGACCUAACAUAAUUGAAAAUAUGGAAAUCAGACAAAACUGAUUUAGAGUCCUGAGAACUUCCUGGUUCUGUGACUUUAGUCUUUCAGAUCCUUGGUUUCCUGGUCUGUAAAAUGGGAAUAUAUUACUAUCAAAAAGGAAAUGGCAUCAAAUAUCUCACAGGUGCCAAGUUUUAGUAAUGAUUUUAUACCAAUCCAUGCAGAAAAAUAAGGUAGUGCAAGAGUCAGAUGAGGACCAUUUGAGGUUUCUCUUAGUCUGUAUUUUUCUUUUUGAUUAAAAAAAAACUUUAUAAUUUAAUAAAUACUAGAGUUUAUCAAAAAUAAUGUUUCUUGUUUGAGUCUGAAAAAGGGAUGGGGGUACUUUGGUAUUUGUGGCUAAAGAGCUUUUUAAAAGGUGGGAUUUGAAUUGAUUGUAUUCGCUCAAUUUGUCCCUACCAGAAGUCUGAUUUCUUCAUAGGAGAAUGUGUACAGAGAAGCUAUCUAUUGCAUUGUGUUUGGAAUAAAAAGAUGUGGA